GAUGAACGCUGGCGGCGUGCCUAAUACAUGCAAGUCGAGCGAACAGACGAGGAGCUUGCUCCUCUGACGUUAGCGGCGGACGGGUGAGUAACACGUGGAUAACCUACCUAUAAGACUGGGAUAACUUCGGGAAACCGGAGCUAAUACCGGAGAAUAUAUUGAAUCGCAUGGUUCAAUAGUGAAAGACGGUUUUGUUGUCACUUAUAGAUUGAUCCGGGCCGCAUUAGCUGGUUGGUAAGGUAACGGCUUACCAAGGCAACGAUGCGUAGCCGACCUGAGAGGGAGGACGGCCAAACUGAGACUGAGACAGGAUCCACACACCGACACGAGGCCGCAGUCGAGACUCCUACGGGAUGGAGGAAAGCCUGACAGUGCAACGCCGAGUGAAUGCUGAAGGUCCUCCGCCCGUAGAAUAAUGAUAUUAGGCAAGAAGUAAUGUGUUAGUAAAUGUGAACGACUUGACGGUACCUAAGCAGAAAGCCACGGCUAACUACGUG
rnacentral:rRNA from 1 species